rnacentral:rRNA from 1 species
AUUGAACGCUGGCGGCAGGCCUAACACAUGCAAGUCGAGCGAGCGGCGGACGGGUGAGUAAUGUCUGGGGACCUACCCGUCAGAGGGGGAUAACUCCUGGAAACAGUUGCUAAUACCGCAUACCAUCGGAUGAACCCAUAUGGGAUUAGCUAGUAGGUAGGGUAAAGGCUCACCUAGGCGACGAUCCCUAGCUGGUCUGAGAGGAUGAUCAGCCACACUGGGACUGAGACACGGCCCAGACUCCUACGGGAGGCAGCAGUGGGGAAUAUUGCACAAUGGGCGCAAGCCUGAUGCAGCCAUGCCGCGUGUAUGAAGAAGGCCUUAGGGUUGUAAAGUACUUUCAGCGGGGAGGCGUUACCCGCAGAAGAAGCACCGGCUAACUCCGUGCCAGCAGCCGCGGUAAUUC